GGCGCGGUGGACGAAAUAGGUAGAGUCGCCCGGUUUUCACCCGGGACAUGUGCGGGUUCGAGUCCCGUCCGCGCUG
rnacentral:tRNA from 2 species